rnacentral:rRNA from 1 species
ACGGCUCAGUAACACGUGGAUAACAUGCCCUAAGGUGGGGGAUAAUCUCGGGAAACUGAGGAUAAUACCCCAUAGGUCUAGAAUGCUGGAAUGCUUUUAGGCUCAAAACUCCGGUGCCUUAGGAUUGGUCUGCGGUCUAUCAGGCAGUAGUGGGUGUAACGGACCCACUAGCCCGUGACGGAUAUGGGCCUUGAGAGAGGGUGCCCAGAGAUGGACUCUGAGACAUGAGUCCAGGCCCUACGGGGCGCAGCAGUCGCGAAAACUUCGCAAUGGGGGAAACCCCGACGAGGGAAUUCCAAGUGCCAGCACUUUGUGUUGGCUGUUCUUCUGUCUAAAAAACAGGAGAAGUAAGGGGCGGGUAAGACGGGUGCCAGCCGCCGCGGUAAUACCCGCGCCCCGAGUGGUGGUCGAUAUUAUUGAGCCUAAAACGUCCGUAGCCGGUCUUCUAAAUCCUUGGGCAAAUCGGGCAGCUUAACUGUCCGAAUUCCGGGGAGACUGGGAGACUUGGGACCGGGAGAGGUCAGAGGUACUUCUGGGGUAGGGGUAAAAUCCUGUAAUCCUGGAAGGACCACCGGUGGCGAAGGCGUCUGACUAGAACGGAUCCGACGGUGAGGGACGAAGCCCUGGGGCGCAAACGGGAUUAGAUACCCCGGUAGUCCAGGGUGUAAACGCUGCGGGCUUGGUGUUGGGGGUCCUUAGUGGGCGCCCAGUGCCGGAGAGAAGUUGUUAAGCCUGCUGCUUGGGGAGUAUGUCCGCAAGGAUGAAACUUAAAGGAAUUGGCGGGGGAGCAC